rnacentral:rRNA from 1 species
CCUACGGGAGGCAGCAGUGAGGAAUAUUGGUCAAUGGACGAGAGUCUGAACCAGCCAAGUAGCGUGAAGGAUGACUGCCCUAUGGGUUGUAAACCUCUUUUAUCUGGGAGUAAAAUGUUCCACGUGUGGGAUUUUGUAUGUACCAUAUGAAUAAGGAUCGGCUAACUCCGUGCCAGCAGCCGCGGUAAUACGGAGGAUCCGAGCGUUAUCCGGAUUUAUUGGGUUUAAAGGGAGCGUAGGUGGAUUGUUAAGUCAGUUGUUAAAGUUUGGGGCUCAACCGUAAAAUUGCAGUUGAAACUGGCAGUCUUGAGUACGGUAGAGGUGGGCGGAAUGCGUGGUGUAGCGGUGAAAUGCUUAGAUAUCACGAAGAACUCCGAUUGCGAAGGUAGCUCACUGGACUGCAACUGACACUGAGGCUCGAAAGUGUGGGUAUCAAACAGGAUUAGAUACCCUUGUAGUC